rnacentral:misc_RNA from 1 species
AAUGCCUAUACUCCACUUGAGGCUUUGGGAGCUGGUGGUUCAUCUUGAGGCUUCAUGGCUGGGAAUAGAAGAACUUCCUUGAUGUUCUGUGAAUCCGUCAACAACAUAGCUAGCCUAUCAAUGCCCAUUCCCCAGCCACCAGUAGGAGGCAAUCCAUACUCAAGAGCUGUACAAAACGUUUCAUCCAAAGCCAUUGCUUCAUCAUCACCCGAUUGCCGGUCCUUAAGUUGUUCAGCAAAUCGCUGGCGUUGUACAACAGGAUCAUUCAAUUCUGUGUAAGCAUUACAUACUUCAUGUUUGUUGAUGAACAAUUCGAAACGUUCAGUUAGACUAGGCCUUGCCCUGUGCCACUUAGCCAA